rnacentral:rRNA from 1 species
GAGCGAACGCUGGCGGCGUGCCUAACACAUGCAAGUCGCACGAGAAAGGGGGUAGCAAUACCCCCGGUACAGUGGCGAACGGGUGAGUAACACGUGGGUAACCUACCCUCGGGUUCGGAAUAACCUGCCGAAAGGCGGGCUAAUACCGGAUGAAGACAUGAGGCCUUCGGGCCUCGUGCCCAAAAGCCGACCUCUUCACGAAAGUUGGCGCCUAAGGAGGGGCCCGCGUCCCAUUAGCUAGUUGGUGAGGUAACGGCNCACCAAGGCUCCGAUGGGUAGCCGGCCUGAGAGGGCGACCGGCCACAGUGGAACUGAGACACGGUCCACACUCCUACGGGAGGCAGCAGUGAGGAAUCUUGCGCAAUGGGCGAAAGCCUGACGCAGCGACGCCGCGU